rnacentral:rRNA from 1 species
AGCGAACGCUGGCGGCGUGCUUAACACAUGCAAGUCGAACGUGAAAAUCCUUCGGGAUAAGUAAAGUGGCGUACGGGUGAGUAACACGUAGGUUAUCUACCUAGAAGUUGGGAAUAACAUUCCGAAAGGAGUGCUAAUACCGAAUAAGCUGACUUCGGUCAGGAAAGGGAGGCCGCAAGGUCCCUCGCUUUUAGAUGAGCCUGCGUCUCAUUAGCUUGUUGGUGGGGUAGAAGCCUACCAAGGCGAUGAUGAGUAGCUGGUCUGAGAGGAUGAUCAGCCACACUGGAACUGAAACACGGUCCAG